UGGAGGUCUCUUCCAACCUUGACUAUUCUGUGAUUCUGUGAUUCUGUAAUUAUUCUGUUGAUGGUAAAGCAGCAGGCUUAGAGACUUAGGUCUCUGGUAUCCUCCUCAGCAUAGUCGUCAAAUCCAGUACGUUCCUCUUCUAUACCACCUUAUCUCAUUGGUUCAUACAUUUAUAAAAUCUUAAUCAAUCCUAACUUUUGU